UACGAGGGGUGCAAGCGUUGCUCGGAAUUAUUGGGCGUAAAGGGUAGGUAGGUGGUCUCAUUUUGUCGGGGGUGAAAGCCUUGAGCUUAACUCAAGAAGUGCCCCCCGAAACGGUGAGACUCGAGUCUUGGAGAGGGUUGCGGAAUUCCCGGUGUAGCGGUGAAAUGCAUAGAGAUCGGGAGGAACACCAGAGGCGAAGGCGGCAACCUGGACAAGUACUGACACUCAACUACGAAAAGCGUGGGGGAGCAAACAGGAAUUAGAAACCCUAAGGUAGU
rnacentral:rRNA from 1 species